rnacentral:rRNA from 1 species
AUGUUAGCUGUUGAAACAGCGGAGCCCAAGGCCCUACCAUUAUCACUCUUGGAGGACAUCACAGAUAAUUUCUCUGGUGAUCGAGAGAUUGGAACAGGUGGGUUUGCAGUGGUUUAUAAGACAGCGGAGCCAAAGGAAUCCAAGGGGAAGAACAAAGGCGUGCCGCCGGGGCAGACGGUGGUCAUCCCGCGGCCCGUUGUCCGGGGACCAGCGUACGGUCUCGGCGAGACGAAGCAUCCCCUGCCGGCGAGGCUCGGCCCGAGUGGUGUCGUCGAUGUACGACAUGGUGGAGCUGAUGCACUACCUGCGCUCCCAGGUGUGUACUACUCCCCGAAGCUCAUCUGUCUCAAGGUCACCGUCAUCGCAGCGCAGGACCUGAUCGGUACCGAGAUAGCCCGGCCGCUCGCGCCUACCAUCGUCAAGAUCCAGAUGGGCAGCCAAAUCCGCCGCACGCGGCCGGGGCAGCCGCAGGGGUCGGCGAACCAGGCGUGGAACGAGGACCUAUUGUUCGUGGCCAGCGAGUCGUCCAAGGACCCGCUGGUGGUGACAGUGGAGGAGAAGGUCGCCGCCGGCAGGGACGAGCCCAUCGGCCGCAUCAUCUGCCCCGUGGCGUCGCCGUACGUGACCCGCAGCAAAGGGGCCAAGUUGGUGCCGUCCAAAUGGUUCAGACUGUCCCGCAGCCGCAGGACGAUGUCCAUGCCGUUCGCCAGCAAGAUCCAUCUGAGGAUGAGCCUGGAGACGGCGUACCACGUGCCGGAGGAAUCGAAGCACUACAGCAGCGACCUGCAUCCAGCGGCGGAGAAGCUCCGAAGGAGCGCCAUAGGCGUGCUGGAGGUGGGCAUCCUCGGCGCACAUGCCCUGGGCGACAACAAGCACCCGUACUGUGUGGCCAAGUACGGAGACAAGUGGAUGCGCACGCGCACGUUGCUCGGCACGGUGGCGCAGCAGUGGAACGAGCCGUACACCUGGGAUGUGUUCGACCCCAACACUGUCGUCACCAUCGCGGUCUUGAACAACAACCACCUGUUCGGCCAUGGCGACGGAUCAGCCAAGGACCAGCGGAUCGGCAAGGUGCGCAUCUGGCUCGCGACCUUACAGAGCGACCGCGUGUACACGCACUACUACCCGCUCAUGGCGCUGAGCCCGAGGGGACUAAAGAAGACGGGGGAGCUCCACCUCGCCACCCGGUUCACGUGCACGGCAUGGGCCAACAUGCUGGCGCAGUACUGGGGGCCGCCGCUGCCCACGAUGCACUACACGAACCCCAUCUCCGAGUUGCAGCUGGACUACCUCCGGGUCCAGGCGAUGGUGAUCGUGGCGACGCGGCUGGGCAGGGCGGAUCCGCCGCUGCCUAGGGAGGCGGUGGAGUACGUGCUCGACGUAGACUCCAACACGUUCAGCCUGCGGCGGAGCAAGGCCAACAUCUGCCGGAUCACCACGCUCUUGUCUGGAAUUGUUGCCGUCGGCGAGUGGUUCGACGGCAACUCCAAGUGGAAGAAUCCGUUGACGACUAUUUUGGUGCACGUGGGCUUCGUGAAGCUGGUGUGCUGCCCGGAGCUGAUCCUGCCCACCAUCUUCGUGUGCUUGAUCGUGAUCAUGGCGUGGAACUACUGCUGGCGGCCACGGGGGCCUCCACACAGUGACACGAUGCUGUCACGCGCGGACCCGGCCGAGAUGGACGACAAGUUGGAACCACCGCACGUAGAUGCGAUGCUGUGGUGGUACAGUGAUGUGGCGUACCCCGACCGACGAGCUGGACGAGGAAUUCGACACACGGUGGCCGGCGACCUGGCUACUCAGGGGGAGCGCGCACAGUCGCUGCUCCGCUGGGGCGACCACAGGGUGACUCCCGUCUUCAUUGCCCUCUCGCUGGCGAUGGCCGUCGUACUUUACCUGACGCCGUUCCGGGUGUUGACCAUGGCGAUGGGGCUCUACUUCCUCCGGCCCCCGUGGUUGAGGGGCAGGACCAACCUGCUCGUCAACUUGUAUAGUCGUCUGCCCUCCGAUGAAGACGUGAUGCUAUAA